rnacentral:rRNA from 1 species
CCUACGGGUGGCAGCAGUGAGGAAUAUUGGUCAAUGGACGAGAGUCUGAACCAGCCAAGUAGCGUGAAGGAUGACUGCCCUAUGGGUUGUAAACUUCUUUUAUAUGGGAAUAAAAUGUUCCACGUGUGGGAUUUUGUAUGUACCAUAUGACUAAGGAUCGGCUAACUCCGUGCCAGCAGCCACGGUAAUACGGAGGAUCCGAGCGUUAUCCGGAUUUAUUGGGUUUAAAGGGAGCGUAGGUGGAUUGUUAAGUCAGUUGUGAAAGUUUGCGGCUCAACCGUAAAAUUGCAGUUGAAACUGGCAGUCGUGAGUACAGUAGAGGUGGGCGGAAUUCGUGGUGUAGCGGUGAAAUGCUUAGAUAUCACGAAGAACUCCGAUUGCGAAGGCAGCUCACUGGACUGCAACUGACACUGAGGCUCGAAAGUGUGGGUAUCAAACAGGAUUAGAUACCCCUGUAGUC